AGACAGUAUGAAUCAAGCUGACUUUUUUUUUUUCCAAGGAGUUUUUAAACUCCAGUGGGCACUAAUGGAAAUGGAGAGAAAGACAAACAAGAUGACCCUGUUAGCUCCCUGUGUACUGCAGAUGUGGUGUAGGCUGUGCUCCGAACUUAGAGAGAAGAAGGAAGAGAGGACAACCCCUCUAUCCCCAAAUUCUCUUCCAACCCUGUUCUGCCAGCCAUCUGAUUGGAAGCAAGAGGGAAGGGAGGCCUGUGGUGACCUCUCUCUUGACAACAGGGGAAAACCUGACCCUAGAAAAAUCAGCUCAAUCAAUAUCAUGUGAUCUUAUCAAAGCAAGCAACCCUACUCCCUAAACUGGUGGAAACGGUGUGAAUGUCAACUAGAGUUCUAUACUUUAAAAACAACAAAAAUAUUGCAAAUUUUGAGUAUCCUUC
rnacentral:lncRNA from 1 species